rnacentral:rRNA from 1 species
GGCCUAACACAUGCAAGUCGAGGGGUAUAGUUUUUCGGAACUAGAGACCGGCGCACGGGUGCGUAACGCGUAUGCAAUCUACCUUUUACAGAGGGAUAGCCCAGAGAAAUUUGGAUUAAUACCUCAUAGUAUUAUGAAAUGGCAUCAUUUUAUAAUUAAAGUCACAACGGUAAAAGAUGAGCAUGCGUCCCAUUAGCUAGUUGGUAAGGUAACGGCUUACCAAGGCUACGAUGGGUAGGGGUCCUGAGAGGGAGAUCCCCCACACUGGUACUGAGACACGGACCAGACUCCUACGGGAGGCAGCAGUGAGGAAUAUUGGACAAUGGGCGCAAGCCUGAUCCAGCCAUGCCGCGUGCAGGAUGACGGUCCUAUGGAUUGUAAACUGCUUUUAUACGAGAAGAAACACUACUUCGUGAAGUAGCUUGACGGUAUCGUAAGAAUAAGGAUCGG